GCUGAUGUCACAUGGUUGUCCUCACAAUAGCAACAUGUGAAACUGUCACAGUAAUGUAUAUCCAAGCCAUAAAUCACCUACUGCAGCAUGAGUCAGAGCUGGAGGUCAAGGCAGCUUUUGGUGGCCCGGGACAAAAAUGGACUAAAGUUUGGGAUGUUUUGUUCAAAUGUUUCUAAAAUGUAACAGCCAGGGAGACUAUGGUGGGACGUGCUUGUGCAAGAUAACAGGAUACUUUCUAGUGCCACAACACCGAUCCUACUGUCCAAUCAGCAGCAAGGGCGUUGCUGUCCCUGCCCUGCCCUGACCUGUCCUGUCCUGAGAACACAGUGGCUCCUGACGCUCUGUGGACCAGUGGAACCAUGGCUUCUUCCAGUGAUCUCCUCUUCUACAUCAACGGAAGAAAGAUUGUUGAGAGAAAUGCAGAUCCUGAGGAAGUGUUGCUCAGUUACCUCCGGAGGAAAGUGGGUCUGACUGGGACCAAGUCUGGCUGUGGAGGGGGGGCUGCGGCGCCUGCACGGUCAUGGUCUCCAGACACGAGCCUAAUG
rnacentral:lncRNA from 1 species